rnacentral:tRNA from 1 species
GGAGAGGUGGCAGAGUGGCCGAAUGCGUCGGUCUCGAAAACCGAUAGGGGUGCAAGCUCCUCGAGGGUUCAAAUCCCUCCCUCUCCG